rnacentral:rRNA from 1 species
CGGUAAUUCCAGCUCCAAUGGUGUAUGCUAACAUUGUUGCAGUUAAAAAGCUCGUAGUCGAAUUUUUAAGGGAAUCAAUUUCGUGUGGUCUUAAUGAACUACAAAGGAAGAUGAUUUAUCUUAUUUUGCGCUUAUACACCGUUGGAAUUCGUUUUCUGACAGUGAAUUAAGUGUGUAUUUACUUUGAGAAAAUUAGAGUGUUCUAAGCAGUCUUACGGCUUUAUCCUAAAGCAUGGAAUGAUAAGUAAUGACAUCGGUUAAUUUCUGUUGGUUUGAGAGGUUGAUGUAAUGAUUUAUAGAGUUAGUCGGAGGUAUUAGUAUUUUGUCGUUAGAGGUGAAAUUCCGGGAUCGACAAAAGACUAACAACUGCGAAGGCAUUUACCUAGGAUUUGCUCCUUGAUCAAGAACGUAAGUUGGGGGAUCGAAGACGAUCAGAUACCGUCGUAGUCUCAACUUUAAACUAUAUCAGCUAGGGGUUGGCAAAUGUUUAUAUGACUUUGUUAGAACCUUAAGAGAAAUCAAAGCGUUUGGGUUCCGGGGGGAGUAUGGUCGCAAGGCUGAAACUUAAAGGAAUUGACGGAAGGGCACCACAAGAUGUGGAUCCUGUGGCUUAAUUUGACUCAACACUGGAAAACUUACCAGGUCCAGACAUAGGUAAGAUGGACAGAUUGAUAGCUCUUUCUUGAUUCUAUGGGGUGGCGGGGCAUGUCCGUUCUUAGUGGGUGGAGUGAUUUGUCUGGUUAAUUCCGUUAACGAACGAGACUAUUACCUGCUAAAUAGUACGAUCUUUUAAUUAGGAUAGUUGCUUAUUAGAGGGACUGGCUUAGCAUAAAUUAAUGGAAGUUCGUAGCAAUAUCAGGUCUGUGAUGCCAUUAGAUGUCCUGGGCAGCGCACGCGAUACAAUAGGAGAGUAACUAAGUUUGUUCAACUUAGCUAGAAAAGGGCUGUGAAAUAUUAAAUCUAUUCUUUAUUUGGGAUCGCGCUAUGAAAUUUUAACGUGUAAACACAGGAAUAGCUAUAGUAUAGGGUAUGUCAUGCACCGUGCACUGAAUCCGUCCCUGCCCACAGUACACACCAACCAAGGGUGAAUCCA